UGGGAUAACUCCGGAAACCGGAGCUAAUACCGGAUAGUUCCUUGAACCGCAUGGUUCAAGGAUGAAAGACGGUUUCGGCUGUCACUUACAGAUGGACCCGCGGCGCAUUAGCUAGUUGGUGGGGUAAUGGCUCACCAAGGCACGAUGCGUAGCCGACCUGAGAGGGUGAUCGGCCACACUGGGACUGAGACACGGCCCAGACUCCUACGGGAGGCAGCAGUAGGGAAUCUUCCGCAAUGGACGAAAGUCUGACGGAGCAACGCCGCGUAGUGAUGAAGGUUUUCGGAUCGUAAAGCUCUGUUGUUAGGGAAGAACAAGUGCGAGAGUAACUGCUCGCACCUUGACGGUACCUAACCAGAAAGCCACGGCUAACUACGUGCCAGCAGCCGCGGUAAACGUAGGUGGCAAGCGUUGUCCGGAAUUAUUGGGCGUAAAGGGCUCGCAGGCGGUUUCUUAAGUCUGAUGUGAAAGCCCCCGGCUCAACCGGGGAGGGUCAUUGGAAACUGGGAAACUUGAGUGCAGAGAGGAGAGUGGAAUUCCACGUGUAGCGGUGAAAUGCGUAGAGAUGUGGAGGAACACCAGUGGCGAAGGCGACUCUCUGGUCUGUAACUGACGCUGAGGAGCGAAAGCGUGGGGAGCGAACAGGAUUGAUACCCUGGUAGUCCACGCCGUAAACGAUGAGUGCUAAGUGUUAGGGGGUUCCGCCCCUUAGUGCUGCAGCUAACGCAUUAAGCACUCCGCCUGGGGAGUACGGUCGCAAGACUGAAACUCAAAGGAAUUGACGGGGGCCCGCACAACGGUGGAGCAUGUGGUUUAAUUCGAAGCAACGCGAAGAACCUUACCAGGUCUUGACAUCCUCUGACAACCCUAGAGAUAGGGCUUUCCCUUCGGGGACAGAGUGACAGGUGGUGCAUGGUUGUCGUC
rnacentral:rRNA from 1 species